rnacentral:rRNA from 1 species
UACGUAGGGUGCGAGCGUUAAUCGGAAUUACUGGGCGUAAAGCGUGCGCAGGCGGCGCGUUAAGACAGGUGUGAAAGCCCCGAGCUUAACUUGGGAAUUGCGCUUGUGACUGGCGUGCUGGAGUGUGGCAGAGGGAGGUGGAAUUCCACGUGUAGCAGUGAAAUGCGUAGAGAUGUGGAGGAACACCGAUGGCGAAGGCAGCCUCCUGGGCCAGCACUGACGCUCAUGCACGAAAGCGUGGGGAGCAAGCAGG